CCUACGGGGGGCUGCAGUUGGGAAUAUUGGACAAUGGGGGGAACCCUGAUCCAGCCAUGCCGCGUGUGUGAAGAAGGCCCUCGGGUUGUAAAGCACUUUCAGUGAGGAAGAACGCCUGGUGGUUAAUACCCAUCAGGAAAGACAUCACUCACAGAAGAAGCACCGGCUAACUCCGUGCCAGCAGCCGCGGUAAUACGGAGGGUGCGAGCGUUAAUCGGAAUUACUGGGCGUAAAGCGCGCGUAGGUGGCUUGAUAAGCCGGUUGUGAAAGCCCCGGGCUCAACCUGGGAACGGCAUCCGGAACUGUCAAGCUAGAGUGCAGGAGAGGAAGGUAGAAUUCCCGGUGUAGCGGUGAAAUACGUAGAGAUCGGGAGGAAUACCAGUGGCGAAGGCGGCCUUCUGGACUGACACUGACACUGAGGUGCGAAAGCGUGGGUAGCAAACAGGAUUAGAUACCCGAGUAGUC
rnacentral:rRNA from 1 species